rnacentral:rRNA from 1 species
AGUGAACGCUGGCGGUAGGCCUAACACAUGCAAGUCGAACGGCAGCACAGUAAGAGCUUGCUCUUACGGGUGGCGAGUGGCGGACGGGUGAGGAAUACAUCGGAAUCUACUUUUUCGUGGGGGAUAACGUAGGGAAACUUACGCUAAUACCGCAUACGACCUACGGGUGAAAGCAGGGGAUCUUCGGACCUUGCGCGAUUGAAUGAGCCGAUGUCGGAUUAGCUAGUUGGCGGGGUAAAGGCCCACCAAGGCGACGAUCCGUAGCUGGUCUGAGAGGAUGAUCAGCCACACUGGAACUGAGACACGGUCCAGACUCCUACGGGAGGCAGCAGUGGGGAAUAUUGGACAAUGGGCGUAAGCCUGAUCCAGCCAUACCGCGUGGGUGAAGAAGGCCUUCGGGUUGUAAAGCCCUUUUGUUGGGAAAGAAAAGCAGCAGGUUAAUACCCCGCUGUUCUGACGGUACCCAAAGAAUAAGCACCGGCUAACUUCG